CCCCAUAGGCUAUGGAAGCUGGAAUGCUCUGUAGUUGAAAGGUCAGCCGCCUUAGGAUGGGUCUGCGGCCGAUUAGGUUGUUGUUGGGGUAACGGCCCAACAAGCCUGUAAUCGGUACGGGUUGUGGGAGCAAGAGCCCGGAGAUGGAUUCUGAGACACGAAUCCAGGCCCUACGGGGCGCAGCAGGCGCGAAAACUUUACAAUGCGGGAAACCGUGAUAAGGGAACUCCGAGUGCCCGUUAAAUCGGGCUGUCCACCAGUUUAAAAAACUGGUGAAGAAAGGGCCGGGCAAGACCGGUGCCAGCCGCCGCGGUAAUACCGGCGGCUCGAGUGGUGGCCACUUUUAUUGGGCUUAAAGCGUUCGUAGCUGGGUUAUUAAGUCCCUUGGGAAAUCCGACGGCUUAACCGUCGGGCGUCUAAGGGAUACUGGUAAUCUUGGAACCGGGAGAGGUGAGGGGUACUUCGGGGGUAGGAGUGAAAUCCUGUAAUCCUCGAGGGACCACCUGUGGCGAAGGCGCCUCACCAGAACGGCUUCGACAGUGAGGGACGAAAGCUGGGGGAGCAAACCGGAUUAGAUACCCGGGUAGUCCCAGCCGUAAACGAUGUGCGUUAGGUGUAUCGGUGACCACGAGUCACCGAGGUGCCGAAGGGAAACCGUGAAACGUACCGCCUGGGAAGUACGGUCGCAAGGCUGAAACU
rnacentral:rRNA from 1 species